CUACGGGUGGCUGCAGCAGGGAAUAUUGCACAAUGGACGGAAGUCUGAUGCAGCGACGCCGCGUGGAUGAUGAAGGCCUUCGGGGUGUAAAAUCCUUUUCAGGGAGAAGAGGAAGGACGGUAUCCCUGGAAUAAGCGUCGGCUAACUACGUGCCAGCAGCCGCGGUAAUACGUAGGACGCAAGCGUUAUCCGGAUUUACUGGGCGUAAAGCGUCUGUAGGCGGUUUAGUAAGUUUGAUGUGAAAGCUCCAGGCUCAACUUGGAGAGUGCAUUGAAUACUGCUAGACUUGAGUGGAUCAGAGGAAAGCGGAAUUUCCGGUGUAGCGGUAAAAUGCGCAGAUAUCGGAAAGAACACCAGUGGCGAAGGCGGCUUUCUGGGAUCAACCUGACGCUGAGAGACGAAAGCUAGGGUAGCGAACAGGAUUAGAUACCCCAGUAGUC
rnacentral:rRNA from 1 species